rnacentral:rRNA from 1 species
GCCAGAAUGGCAUAUCCUGCCACUGCCAGCGUUCCAUUCCGGCCAGUGACGGAAAACGCUCACCCCACUGCCAGAACAGGGUUUCCAGGUCAUGCUCUGCCACCCGGUCACUCCAGCGGGCAUGCCAGCUUCCGACUGUUUCCGGCGAAUGGAAUGCCAGUUCGAUUUCACCUGAGCGACCAGCGCCUGGUACGCACGGGCUUUCUGCUCUGCCUCCCUCGCCUGCUGGCGACUGUAC